AUGAACGCUGGCGGCGUGCCUAAUACAUGCAAGUCGAGCGAACAGACGAGGAGCUUGCUCCUCUGACGUUAGCGGCGGACGGGUGAGUAACACGUGGAUAACCUACCUAUAAGACUGGGAUAACUUCGGGAAACCGGAGCUAAUGCCGGAUAAUAUAUUGAACCGCAUGGUUCAAUAGUGAAAGACGGUUUUGCUGUCACUUAUAGCUGGAUCCGCGCCGCAUUAGCUAGUUGGUAAGGUAACGGCUUACCAAGGCAACGAUGCGUAGCCGACCUGAGAGGGUGAUAGGCCACACUGGAACUGAGACACGGUCCAGACUCCUACGGGAGGCAGCAGUAGGGAAUCUUCCGCAAUGGGCGAAAGCCUGACGGAGCAACGCCGCGUGAGUGAUGAAGGUCUUCGGAUCGUAAAACUCUGUUAUUAGGGAAGAACAAAUGUGUAAGUAACUAUGCACGUCUUGACGGUACCUAAUCAGAAAGCCACGGCUAACUACGUG
rnacentral:rRNA from 1 species